rfam:Triticum aestivum genome assembly, contig: Triticum_aestivum_CS42_TGACv1_scaffold_320436_4BL
CAACUACUCCCUUUGUCCCAAAUUUCUUGUCUUAGAUUUGUCUAGAUACGGAUGUAUCUAAAACUAAAAUGUGACUCGAUACAUCUGUAUCUAGACAAAUCUAAGACAAAGAUUUUGGGACGGAGGGAGUACUUU